rnacentral:tRNA from 1 species
GGAGAGUACAGCUCAGUGGUAGAGCACGUGCUUAGCAUGCGUGAGGUCCUGAGUUCAGUCCCCAGUCUCUCCA